ACAAAUAUUAAGAGACAAAAACACUUCUUGAAAUGACUUUAGACUUGUAUUAAGGGACGGAGGUAGUAUAUACUAGAAUAUGUUGUGACUUCCGCCUUGCACAAUUGGCUGCAGAGUUUACCCAUGAUGUUAACUGCUGCGGAGGCAAUUAAUAGACCGGCUGUCAAGAAUCUGCAAAGUAUUUUCCUGAAAUAAACUUCACAUAAAUAGUUUCUGCAGAAGUACAAGAUGGUACAUUGCAAAAAUAAUCUCAAAGGUGAAAAGUCAUAUCCGCUGAUAUUAGCCCAUUCAUAACCCCUACAUCCUUCCCACGGAAAAAAAAAACUGGAAGUCAUUACUUUAAAUAGCCA
rnacentral:lncRNA from 1 species